rnacentral:rRNA from 1 species
AGUGGCGAACGGGUGAGUAAUACAUAAGCAACCUACCCACGAAGACUGGGAUAAUCUCUGGAAACGGGGACUAAUACCGGAUAGGUAAUCGGAAGGCAUCUUCUGGUUAUUAAAGGUUAAAAACACUGGUGGAUGGGCUUAUGGCGCAUUAGUUAGUUGGUGAGGUAACGGCCCACCAAGACGAUGAUGCGUAGCCGGCCUGAGAGGGUGAACGGCCACAUUGGGACUGAGACACGGCCCAG